rfam:Triticum aestivum genome assembly, contig: Triticum_aestivum_CS42_TGACv1_scaffold_423537_5BS
CAAAUACUCCCUCCGUCCCGAGUUACUUGUCUUAGAUUUGUCUGUAUCUAGACACGUUUUAGUGUUAGAUACAUCCGUAUCUAGACAAAUCUAAGACAAGUAAUUUGAGACGGAGGUAAUAUGUA